CACUUGUUUCUUGUUUACGUCGUAGAGUGGGGGAGCCGCUCGGUCUCUUCGUCCUGAACCUCCAUCCUUAUAACAUGUCCAGGCGGAAUAUCCUGUGUCCUCGAUGGUGUCUUCAAGUAAGGAUGCUUACUCUUGCUCCAUCUGCAUUGAGAGAUGAAGAACGGAGUUCAUAUAAAGAUUCAAGAAUUGGGAAGUUUGGAUGACUAGACUGAAAUGAAAGGACUUUGAAAUCAAAAUGUAAUAACUCCGUACCACAUGAAGUCCAACAGUUGUGGAUCCUUCAUUAUGUUCAGUGGAGUAGGUGUCGUGGUCCUGUAAAAAUGCUGACCAAGCGGUGUGUGGUUACUUGUGCGCACAUGCCUAUUGUAGCACUGUUUAGAGGUUUUUGGGAGAUGUGAAGAUGCAGACCGGAUUCUUAAGAUGUAUGGACACAUGUUUUGCUUAAUUGUUUUGCUUAAUUUUGUUACUUGCACAUACUUUUUAAAUAUUUUAGAGGUUGUGUAUACUCAAUAAAAGUGGAAUGGAAAAUUU